UACGUAGGGUGCAAGCGUUGUCCGGAAUUAUUGGGCGUAAAGAGCUCGUAGGCGGUUAGUCGCGUCUGCUGUGAAAACUCGGGGCUUAACUCCGGGCCUGCAGUGGGUACGGGCUGACUAGAGUGCGGUAGGGGGAGACUGGAAUUCCUGGUGUAGCGGUGAAAUGCGUAGAUAUCGGAAGGAACACCAGUGGCGAAAGCGGCUUCCUGGUCCGACACCGACGUUCAGGCACGAAAGCGUGGGGAGCAAAAGGG
rnacentral:rRNA from 1 species